GACGAACGCUGGCGGCGUGCUUAACACAUGCAAGUCGAACGGAAAGGCCCUGCUUUUGUGGGGUGCUCGAGUGGCGAACGGGUGAGUAACACGUGAGUAACCUGCCCUUGACUUUGGGAUAACUUCAGGAAACUGGGGCUAAUACCGGAUAGGAGCUCCUGCUGCAUGGUGGGGGUUGGAAAGUUUCGGCGGUUGGGGAUGGACUCGCGGCUUAUCAGCUUGUUGGUGGGGUAGUGGCUUACCAAGGCUUUGACGGGUAGCCGGCCUGAGAGGGUGACCGGCCACAUUGGGACUGAGAUACGGCCCAGACUCCUACGGGAGGCAACAGUGGGGAAUAUUGCACAAUGGGCGGAAGCCUGAUGCAGCAACGCCGCGUGCGGGGUGACGGCCUUCGGGUUGUAAACCGCUUUCGCCUGUGACGAAGCGUGAGUGACGGUAAUGGGUAAAGAAGCACCGGCUAACUACGUGCCAGCAGCCGCGGUGAUACGUAGGGUGCGAGCGUUGUCCGGAUUUAUUGGGCGUAAAGGGCUCGUAGGUGGUUGAUCGCGUCGGAAGUGUAAUCUUGGGGCUUAACCCUGAGCGUGCUUUCGAUACGGGUUGACUUGAGGAAGGUAGGGGAGAAUGGAAUUCCUGGUGGAGCGGUGGAAUGCGCAGAUAUCAGGAGGAACACCAGUGGCGAAGGCGGUUCUCUGGGCCUUUCCUGACGCUGAGGAGCGAAAGCGUGGGGAGCGAACAGGCUUAGAUACCCUGGUAGUCCACGCUGUAAACGGUGGGUACUAGGUGUGGGGUCCAUUCCACGGGUUCCGUGCCGUAGCUAACGCUUUAAGUACCCCGCCUGGGGAGUACGGCCGCAAGGCUAAAACUCAAAGGAAUUGACGGGGCCCCGCACAAGCGGCGGAGCAUGCGGAUUAAUUCGAUGCAACGCGUAGAACCUUACCUGGGUUUGACAUGGAUCGGGAGUGCUCAGAGAUGGGUGUGCCUCUUUUGGGGUCGGUUCACAGGUGGUGCAUGGCUGUCGUCAGCUCGUGUCGUGAGAUGUUGGGUUAAGUCCCGCAACGAGCGCAACCCUUGUUCACUGUUGCCAGCACGUUAUGGUGGGGACUCAGUGGAGACCGCCGGGGUCAACUCGGAGGAAGGUGGGGAUGACGUCAAGUCAUCAUGCCCCUUAUGUCCAGGGCUUCACGCAUGCUACAAUGGCUGGUACAGAGAGUGGCGAGCCUGUGAGGGUGAGCGAAUCUCGGAAAGCCGGUCUCAGUUCGGAUUGGGGUCUGCAACUCGACCUCAUGAAGUCGGAGUCGCUAGUAAUCGCAGAUCAGCAACGCUGCGGUGAAUACGUUCCCGGGGCU
rnacentral:rRNA from 1 species